UCCAUGAUGGUGUAAUGGCUAACAUCGCUGUCUUUCAAAUCUCAUUUCACAGCAGCUCGGGGUUCGAUUCCCCGUCAUGGAA